UACGGGAGGCAGCAGUGGGGAAUAUUGCACAAUGGGCGAAAGCCUGAUGCAGCUAUGCCGCGUGUAUGAAGAAGGCCUUAGGGUUGUAAAGUACUUUCAUCGGGGAGGAAAAACAAAACUAAUAAUUUUAUUUCUUGACGUUACCCGAAAAAGAAGCACCGGCUAACUCCGUGCCAGCAGCCGCGGUAAUACGGAGGGUGCUAGCGUUAAUCAGAAUUACUGGGCGUAAAGAGCACGUAGGUGGUUUUUUUAAGUCAGAUGUGAAAUCCCUGGGCUUAACCUGGAACUGCAUUUUGAAACUGAAAUACUAGAGUAUCGUAGAGGGAGGUAGAAUUCUAGGUGUAGCGGUGAAAUGCGUAGAUAUCUGGAGGAAUACCUGUGGCGAAAGCGGCCUCCUAAACGAAUACUGACACUGAGUGCGAAAGCGUGGGGAGCGAAACAGGGAUUAGGAUACC
rnacentral:rRNA from 1 species